rnacentral:rRNA from 1 species
UACGGGGGGGGCAAGCGUUGUUCGGAAUUACUGGGCGUAAAGGGCUCGUAGGUGGCCAACUAAGUCAGACGUGAAAUCCCUCGGCUUAACCGGGGAACUGCGUCUGAUACUGGAUGGCUUGAGUUUGGGAGAGGGACGCGGAAUUCCAGGUGUAGCGGUGAAAUGCGUAGAUAUCUGGAGGAACACCGGUGGCGAAGGCGGCGUCCUGGACCAACACUGACGCUGAGGAGCGAAAGCGUGGGGAGCGAAACAGGAUUGAGAUACCCCGUG